rnacentral:rRNA from 1 species
AGUGGAUGGGGAGCAACCUAGUUGUGCGUGUGUAAAGGUAGUGCCAAGAAAAGCGAUGAUCAUGUUGAAAAUCAAUUCCCGGUACCCGAAACCGACACAGGUGGGCAAGUAGAGAAUACUAAGGGGCGCGAGGUAACUCUCUCCAAGGAACUCGGCAAAAUGACCCCGUAACUUAGGGAGAAGGGGUGCCACCGAGAGGUGGUCGCAGUGAAGAGGCCCAGGCGACUGUUUAGCAAAAACAUAGGUCUCUGCAAACUCGAAAGAGGAGGUAUAGGGGCUGACGCCUGCCCAGUGCCGGAAGGUUAAAGAAGUUGGUCAGUUUUAGGAUGAAGCUAGCGACUGAAGCCCCGGUGAACGGCGGCCGUAACUAUAACGGUCCUAAGGUAGCGAAAUUCCUUGUCGGGUAAGUUCCGACCCGCACGAAAGGCGUAACGAUCUGGGCGCUGUCUCGGAGAGAGGCUCGGCGAAAUAGGAUUGUCUGUGAAGAUACGGACUACCUGCAUUUGGACAGAAAGACCCUAUGAAGCUUUACUACAGCUUGGAAUUGUGUUCGGGCUUCCUGUGCGCAGGAUAGGUGGGAGGCGAAGAAGGUAUUCUUGUGGGGAUACUGGAGCCAACGGUGAGAUACCACUCUCAGGAGGCUAGAAUUCUAACUUAAUUAAGGACAGUUUCAGGUGGGUAGUUUGACUGGGGCGGUCGCCUCCAAAAAGGUAACGGAGGCGUACAAAGGUUCCCUCAGACUGGUUGGAAAUCAGUCGCAGAGUGCAAAGGCAGAAGGGAGCUUGACUGCGAGAAGUACAGUUCGAGCAGGGUGGAAACACGGUCUUAGUGAUCCGACGGUGCUGUGUGGAAGGGCCGUCGCUCAACGGAUAAAAGUUACUCUAGGAUAACAGGCUGAUCUCCCCCAAGAGUUCACAUCGACGGGGAGGUUUGGCACCUCGAUGUCGGCUCAUCGCAACCUGGGGCGGAAGUACGUCCCAAGGGUUGGGCUGUUCGCCCAUUAAAGCGGUACGUGAGCUGGGUUCAGAACGUCGUGAGACAGUUCGGUCCAUAUCCGAUGUAGGCGUGAGAAUAUUGAGAGGAGCCUUCCUUAGUACGAGAGGACCGGGAAGGACGCACCGCUGGUGUACCUGUUAUGAUGCCAAUUGUAAACGCAGGGUAGCCAAGUGCGGAGAGGAUAACCGCUGAAAGCAUCUAAGUGGGAAGCCCACCUCAAGAUGAGUAUUCUGGUGUAAGGUCACGGGAAGACGACCCGUAAAUAGGCACGAGGUGGAAGUGCAGAGAUGUAUGAAGCCGAAGUGUACUAAUAGACCGUCGGCUUGACC